CUGGAAACGGUAGCUAAUACCGCAUAACGUCGCAAGACCAAAGAGGGGGACCUUCGGGCCUCUUGCCAUCGGAUGUGCCCAGAUGGGAUUAGCUAGUAGGUGGGGUAACGGCUCACCUAGGCGACGAUCCCUAGCUGGUCUGAGAGGAUGACCAGCCACACUGGAACUGAGACACGGUCCAGACUCCUACGGGAGGCAGCAUG
rnacentral:rRNA from 1 species